rnacentral:misc_RNA from 1 species
UUUCCGUAGGUGAACCUGCGGAAGGAUCAUUAAAUAAUUUAGAUGGCCUCCUAGAACUUGUUCUAGUUAGGUUCAUUCUUUUUUACUGUGAACUGUUUUAAUUUUCAGCGUUUGAGGAAUGUCUUUUAGUCAUAGGGAUAGACUAUUAGAAUGUUAACCGAGCUGAAGUCAGGUUUAGACCUGGUAUCCUAUUAAUUAUUUACCAAAAGAAUUCAGUAUUAUUAUUGUGGCAUAAGCGUAAAAAACUUAUAAAACAACUUUUAACAACGGAUCUCUUGGUUCUC